CCUACGGGAGGCUGCAGUGGGGGAUAUUGCACAAUGGGGGGAACCCUGAUGCAGCGACGCCGCGUGAGCGAAGAAGUACUUCGGUAUGUAAAGCUCUAUCAGCAGGGAAGAAAAUGACGGUACCUGACUAAGAAGCCCCGGCUAAAUACGUGCCAGCAGCCGCGGUAAUACGUAGGGGGCACGCGUUAUCCGGAUUUACUGGGUGUAAGGGGAGCGCAGGCGGUCUGCCAAGUCUGGUGUGAAAACCCGGGUCCCAACGGCGGGCCUGCCUUGGAAACUGGCGGGCUGGAGUGUCGGAGGGGCAGGCGGAAUUCCUAGUGUAGCGGUGAAAUGCGUAGAUAUUAGGAGGAACACCGGUGGCGAAGGCGGCCUACUGGACGGUGACUGACGCUGAGGCUCGAAAGCGUGGGGAGCAAACAGGAUUAGAUACCCUAGUAGUC
rnacentral:rRNA from 1 species